rnacentral:tRNA from 1 species
UGGUUCAGACGGUAGAGCGCUCAGAUCGCAUGCGUGAGGUCAUUGGUUCGAGUCCCGGCUU